rnacentral:rRNA from 1 species
GACGAACGCUGGCGGCGUGCUUAACACAUGCAAGUCGAACGGAAAGGCCCCUUUGGGGGUACUCGAGUGGCGAACGGGUGCGUAACACGUGAGUAACCUGCCCUUGACUUCGGGAUAACUUCAGGAAACUGGGGCUAAUACCGGAUAGGAAUCCUUGCUGCAUGGUGGGGGUUGGAAAGCUUCGGCGGUUUUGGAUGGACUCGCGGCUUAUCAGCUUGUUGGUGGGGUAGUGGCUUACCAAGGCUUUGACGGGUAGCCGGCCUGAGAGGGCGACCGGCCACCUUGGGACUGAGAGACGGCCCAGACUGCUACGGGAGGCAGCAGUGGGGAAUAUUGCACAAUGGGCGGAAGCCUGAUGCAGCAAGGCCGCGUGCGGGAUGACGGCCUUCGGGUUGUAAACCGAUUUCAGCAGGGGCGAAGCUUGUGGUGACGGUACCUGCAGAAGAAGCACCGGCUAACUACGUG